rnacentral:lncRNA from 1 species
CCAAGCAUCCUCGCGCGACCCCGAGAGCCCGGGGAGCGGGGGCUUGCCGGCCCUGGCACUCAUUUACCCAGAGACAGGGAGAGGCUCUUCUACAUUCCCCUCCUGCCACCUGCUCUUGUCCACGGUGAGCCUGCUGUAGAGGAAGAAGGAGCCGUCGGAGUCCAGCACGGGAGGCGUGGUCUUGUAGUUGUUCUCCGGCUGCCCAUUGCUCUCCCACUCCACGGCGAUGUCGCUGGGGUAGAAGCCUUUGACCAGGCAGGUCAGGCUGACCUGGUUCUUGGUCAUCUCCUCCCGGGAUGGGGGCAGGGUGUACACCUGUGGUUCUCGGGGCUGCCCUAUGGUUUUCUCGAUGGGGGCUGGGAGGCCUUUGUUGGAGACCUUGCACUUGUACUCCUUGCCGUUCAGCCAGUCCUGGUGCACG